rnacentral:rRNA from 1 species
UACGUAGGGUGCAAGCGUUUGUCCGGAAUCAUUGGGCGUAAAGCGCGCGUAGGUGGCUUCGUAAGUCCGUUGUGAAAGUCAAAGGCUCAACCUUUGAAUGCCGAUGGAUACUGCGAAGCUAGAGUACGGAAGAGGCGAGUGGAAUUCCUGGUGGUAGCGGUGGAAUUGCGCAGAUAGUCAAGGAGGAACACCAAUAGCGAA